GCAGAAAUAAGCACCGGCUAACUCCUUGCCAGCAGCCGCGGUAAUACAGAGGGGUGCGAGCGUAAUCGGAUUUACUGGGCGUAAAGCGCACGCUAGGCGGUCAGAUUAAGUCAGGAUGUGAAAUCCCCUGAGCUUAACUUGGGAAUUGCAUCUCGAUACUGGUCAGCUAGAAUCAUGUAGGGGGGGGGUAGGAAUCCCAGUGGAGCGGGGAAAAGGGGAGAGAAUCUGAAGGAUUACGGAUGCGGAAGCGACCUCCUCUGGCAUAGAAUGAACGCCGGGUUACGAAAGCGAUGGGAACCAACCAGAAUAGAUUCCCUGGUAAUUCCAUCCGUUAACGAUGUUGAUUUAGAGGUUGUGGUCUUGGAGCGUGUAUUGUGGCAGUUACCCGGUUAAUUAGCCCCCUGGGGAAGUCGGCUGCCAGGUUUAAACUUCAAUGAAUUGGCGGGGGCCCGCCCCAACGGUGGAACCAGUGGUUUUAUUUGAAUCCACGGGAAGGACCUUUCCUUGUUUUGGCCAUCAAGGUGUUAGAAUCUUUGCCCGAAAUAGAGGAGGUCCUUUGGGAACUUUGCAUCCGGUUGUGCCAGGCCGUUCGUCAAGUUGGGUUGGGGAAAGGUGGGGUAAAUUCAACGCCACGAACGCCACCCUUUUCCUUUGUUGCCCAGCCGUGAGGGUGGGAACUCAAAGGAUACUGCCGGUGAUAAACCGGAGGAAGGUGGGGAUGACGUCAAGUCAUCAUGGCCCUUACGAGCAGGGCUACAUUCCACGUGCUACAAUGGCAGAUACAAAGAUAUGAAGCUACCUAGCGAGAGCAAGCGGCUCUCAAUAAAGUCUGUCGUAGUCCGGAUUGGAGUCUGCAACUCGACUCCAUGAAGUCGGGAAUCGCUAGUAUUCGUAGAUCAGAAUCCGCGGGUGAAUACGUCCCCGGCCCUUGUCCCCCCCCCCCUCCCCCCCAGGGGAGUGGGUCGGCCACAAGAAGUAGGAACCUUAACGCAAAGAGGCGCUUCCCACGGUUAUCAUUAGUAGCC
rnacentral:rRNA from 1 species